ACUCCAUUAAGCACAUGGCAGUAAAAUACAAUAAAAUACACAAGGUUACAUUAUUACAUAAAAUACAGACAUGCAACAUAUCCCCAGAUAGCUUAGGCCUGAGCGCACAUUAUUACUGAUUGGCUCUCAGACCACACACAGUUCCAUUGCCAUGAAGCCAAAGUCCUUUAUUACACGAAUAGGCUCCAUUGCAUAGCUAUCUGGGUUAAAUGAGUUCAUUCAGUAAAUCCGAGAAUCUACCGAACGCCAGGGCAGAAAUACAGGAAUAGACCUUUCUGCAUAGGAAAAUACAGUAUUUGAAUGCCCGUCCAUAGUCAAAAGGCAGCAGGUAG